rnacentral:rRNA from 1 species
AGAGUUUGAUCAUGGCUCAGAUUGAACGCUGGCGGCAUGCCUUACACAUGCAAGUCGAACGGCAGCGCGGGGCAACCUGGCGGCGAGUGGCGAACGGGUGAGUAAUAUAUCGGAACGUACCCUGGAGUGGGGGAUAACGUAGCGAAAGUUACGCUAAUACCGCAUACGAUCUAAGGAUGAAAGCAGGGGACCGCAAGGCCUUGUGCUCCUGGAGCGGCCGAUAUCUGAUUAGCUAGUUGGUGGGGUAAAGGCCUACCAAGGCAUCGAUCAGUAGCUGGUCUGAGAGGACGACCAGCCACACUGGAACUGAGACACGGUCCAGACUCCUACGGGAGGCAGCAGUGGGGAAUUUUGGACAAUGGGCGCAAGCCUGAUCCAGCAAUGCCGCGUGAGUGAAGAAGGCCUUCGGGUUGUAAAGCUCUUUUGUCAGGGAAGAAACGGUGUGGGCUAAUAUCCCGUACUAAUGACGGUACCUGAAGAAAUAAGCACCGGCUAACUACGUGCCAGCAGCCGCGGUA